rnacentral:rRNA from 1 species
AGGGGUUGCGUAGGCGGCCUGUUAAGUCAGGGGUGAAAGACGGUAGCUCAACUAUCGCAGUGCCCUUGAUACUGAUGGGCUUGAAUGGACUAGAGGUAGGCGGAAUGAGACAAGUAGCGGUGAAAUGCAUAGAUAUGUCUCAGAACACCGAUUGCGAAGGCAGCUUACUAUGGUCUUAUUGACGCUGAGGCACGAAAGCGUGGGGAUCAAACAGGAUUAGAUACCCUUGU